UACGUAGGGGGCAAGCGUUGUCCGGAAUUAUUGGGCGUAAAGAGCGUGUAGGCGGUCCGGUAAGUCAGCUGUGAAAGUCAAGGGCUCAACCCUUGAAUGCCGGUUGAUACUGUCGGGCUAGAGUCCGGAAGAGGCGAGUGGAAUUCCCGGUGUAGCGGUGAAAUGCGUAGAUAUCUGGAGGAACACCGGUGGCGAAAGCGGCAUCCUGGACCAAUAUUGACGCUGAGGAGCGAAAGCUAGGGGAGCAAACGGG
rnacentral:rRNA from 1 species